rnacentral:rRNA from 1 species
UACGAAGGGGGCUAGCGUUGCUCGGAAUCACUGGGCGUAAAGCGCACGUAGGCGGAUUUUUAAGUCAGGGGUGAAAUCCUGGAGCUCAACUCCAGAACUGCCUUUGAUACUGGAAAUCUCGAGUCCGGAAGAGGUGAGUGGAACUGCGAGUGUAGAGGUGAAAUUCGUAGAUAUUCGCAAGAACACCAGUGGCGAAGGCGGCUCACUGGCCCGAUACUGACGCUGAGGCACGAAAGCGUGGGGAGCAAACAGG